AACGAAUGCUAGCGGCAGGCCNAACACAUGCAAGUCGAGCGGAUGUCCUUAGGGACGUUAGCGGCGAACGGGUGAGUAACGCGUGAGAAUCUACCUUACUCUACGGGAUAACACAGGGAAACUUGUGUCAAUAUCGUAUGAUUCCUGUAUCAGGUAAAGAGCUAUAUAUUAUUGGAGUAAGACGAGCUUGCGUUAGAUUAGCUAGUUGGUGAGGUAAAUGCUCAACCAAGGCAACGAUCUAUAGCUGGUCUGGGAGGACGGUCAGCCACAUUGGGACUGAGACACGGCCCAAACUUCUACGGAAGGCAGCAGUGGGGAAUAUUGGACAAUGGGCGAAAGCCUGAUCCAGCUAUGUCGCGUGAGUGAUUGAAGGUUGAUUUAACUGUAAAACUCUUUUGUCGGUGACCAUGAUGAUGGUAGCCGAAGAAAAAGCUCCGGCUAACUUCGUGCCAGCAGCCGCGGUAAUACGGGGGGAGCUAGUGUUGUUCGAAUUUAUUGGGCGUAAAGGGCGCGUAGGCGGCUCGGCAAGUUGAAAGCUAAAUCUUGAAGCUCAACUUCAUAAGGCUUUCAAAACUAUCAGGCUAGAGCUUAGUGGGGGUGAGUGGAACUCCAGGUGUAGAGGUGAAAUUCGUAGAUAUUUGGAGGAACACCAGAGGCGAAGGCGAUUCACUACGCUAAGCUGACGCUAAUGCGCGAAAGCGUGGGGAGCAAACAGGAUUAGAUACCCUGGUAGUCCACGCUGUAAACGAUGAGUGCUAGUAGUGGGGUCUGCGCUUUUUGCUGCAGCUUCAUUAUACAGCUAACGCGUUAAGCACUCCGCCUGGGGAGUACGAUCGCAAGAUUAAAACUCAAAGGAAUUGACGGAGACCCGCACAAGCGGUGGAGCAUGUGGUUUAAUUCGAAACGACGCGUAGAACCUUACCAGCUCUUGACAUUCAAGGUCGAAUACAUUUAGAAAUAAGUGUAUUCUACUAAAACAUAUAUGACCUGAACAGGUGCUGCAUGGCUGUCGUCAGCUCGUGUCGUGAGAUGUAUGGUUAAGUCCUGCAACGAGCGCAACCCUUGCUCUUAGUUGCUUAAAAGCUGAAAAGCUAGCUCUCUAAGAGGACUGCUAAUGACAAAUUAGAGGAAGGAAAGGACGACGUCAAGUCUUCAUGGCCUUUAUGGGCUGGGCUACACACGUGCUACAAUGGUGGCUACAGAGAGUCGCGAUGUUGCGAGGCGGAGCAAAUCUUUAAAAGCCAUCUCAGUUCGGAUUGCACUCUGCGACUCGAGUGCAUGAAGCAGGAAUCGCUAGUAAUCGCGGAUCAGCAUGCCGCGGUGAAUACGUUCUCGGGUCUUGUACACACCGCCCGUCACACCAUGGGAGUCGGUUUUGUUUUAAGCUGUUGCGUUUGCGCAGUAUCGAUAAAGUUGACGACUGGGGUG
rnacentral:rRNA from 1 species